AUGCCACCAAGCUUCCCCGCUCGCCAGCAGGACCCUCUCCUUCGGGGAAGAGAUGGCCGUGUGAGAGCCACGGCGGAAACACCGGGCAGGACCCACGCCAAAAGUCAUUCCCUCCCUCGCUUGAACAAGAAAAAAAAAAAAAAAAAAAGGAAAAAAAAAGGGGGAGAGGGAGAAAUGGGCCUUUGCGAUAGCAGUGGUCACAUCCCCCAGUAUCCACCCAAAAAUGGGGGAACAGGGCGGGAGGCAGCCCGCCCCAGGGCCCGGGGAGCCGCCGGAAGCGCGGCCGGAGCAGUGACGUCACCGGGUCUCCCGGUCCCGCCCCCUCCCCGGGUCGGGGGAGGGGUCACCGAGGGGGUUUCCUCGCGGCCCGGUGGGGAAGGCAUGGCCGGCGCGCCGGGGGGCCGCUGCUGCCCCGCCACUUCCUCCUCCUCCUCCUCCUCCUCCUCCUCCUCCUCCUCCUCCUCUUUCUCCUCCUUCUCACCGGUGGGACCCCCCGGCCGCCCCAGCCCCAGCCCCUGCUCCUGCCCCGAGGCAGGGGGGGCCCCUCACCGCCGCGGCUCCCAGGGGUCUCCCCAAGGGGGGUCCCCGUUCGGGCUCGACACGAGGCAGCGCCUCCCCCCGACGGCCGAAGCCGCCGCCGCUCGGGGCGCUGCGCGGUGCGCGUCGCGCUUCCCCCUGGCAGGGCCCGGCCCCCGGGGCACCGGCACGGCCGGGCGCACACACACACACGGACGGACACGCAGAGAGAUGGGGCUUGACGCGGAGAUCCCGGAGGUUCCGCCCCGCCGCCCGCCCGGACGGGCUUCCCCGCGCCCCCGCCCGCCCGGCCCGCCGCGCCCCGGCGCUGCCGGGGAAACUCACCGCCGCGCCGCGCAUCCCGCCGCGGCUACAACUUUCCAUCCCGGGCGGCAGCCGGCGGCGGCAGCGAGCCCCUCCGCCGCUGGAAGUGGGCGGGGGAGGAAAUACGAGGAGGAGGCGCGUCGUGCUCUCCGCCGCGGCGCCCCUUUUUUGGCCCGGGACGCGGGUUUUGCCGGUGGGGGCUGUGCCGCCGCGGUUGGUUUCCUGCAUCAGCUGUGGGGGUGUGUAUGCACAGCUUACACGUGUGCCUCUGUGUGUGUCUGUGCGCGCUCCGUGCGGGGUCACCCUGCCCGGCCAAGGGCUGCCCUCCCUUCUCCCCCGCCGCGGGCAAGGGAGCGCUGGGUCACCCUCCAAAAGGCGAGGGGCCCGGGCCGGGCUUUGGGUGCUGAGAAGGGGGGAUUCAGCGGGACUUUUUGGUGGUUUUUUUUUUUUUUUUUCUCUUGUCAACCAAACUCCCCGACAAAGCAGUGUUGGCAGCUUUUCAUUGCCACUCGGGUUUUCCAUCGGGUUUUGCGUUUGGAGCCAGCACGUGAUGUCUUCAGUAAAUAAACUCAAUUAAAUAUUUCUUGCGGCACCUCCGUCUUCUCCCUCCUCCCCUGCCUGCGCUCCCCUGGCAGCCUGUGUGCUCAGCUGUGAGGACCUUGGCCCUGCUACAUCCUUCCCUUUGGAGUUCAGUGUCCAGACCAGAUCCUGCCUUAAGAGAACAGGACCACUAUUAUCAGAGUUUUCACGGUUUUUACAGGGCCUUCUUUCAACCUACAUUUAAUCAUGUUUGUAAGACACAAGUAUUUUCAUCCCCAUUUCACAGGGGAGAAAGCAAGGCAGGAAGAUGCAGAGUAGCUCGCUGCAUAGCUAUGGACUGACAGGACACCACUUCUGCCUGAGCUUUUGGCCACAGGCAUUGUCUCUGGGCUAUUUUUCCUCUUGAGUUCACUUAAAUUAUACCUUGAGAACAUUUACAGCUUACAAUGGUGGCAGGUUCUCUGCUGUGGGUAACCUGUUCUACGUCCUGCCCAGAGGCAACACAGGAGGCAAAUGUAAGUGAAAUCCCUGGCUAGUCUGCAACGUGGUGUUUAGGGCAGGAGAUUGUAUUCAUUGCUGAACUGGAGAUUCAUGGGAAAAUCAGACCCUCAAAGAAUAUCUUCAGGUGAAAUCUGUUCUGCUGUUCCUCUUGGACAAGAAAAUG
ensembl:lncRNA